rnacentral:rRNA from 1 species
UAAAAUCUCAUGGAGGGCCGAACGCACGUUCGUUGCAAUGACCGGCGAUGACUUGUGGUUAGCGGAGAAAUUCCAAUCGAACUCGGAGAUAGCUGGUUCUCCCCGAAAUAGCUUUAGGGCUAGCGUUAUCUUAGAUUACCGGAGGUAAAGCACUGAAUGGGCUAGGGGGCGAUAAGCUUACUGAACCCUAUCAAACUCAGAAUGCCGGCUAAUUGAUGGAUAGCAGUCAGACAGUGUGAGAUAAGUUUCAUUGUCAAAAGGGAAACAGCCCAGACCCACAGCUAAGGUCCCUAAUGCAUGCUAAGUGGAAAACGAUGUGGAAUUGCGAAAACAACCAGGAUGUUGGCUUAGAAGCAGCCACUCAUUAAAAGAGUGCGUAAUAGCUCACUGGUCGAGUGACUCUGCGCGGAAAAUAUAACGGGGCUAAGCAUGCAACCGAAGCUUGGGAUUGUCUAAAGACAGUGGUAGGGGAGCGUCGUGUACGGGGUGAAGUCUGAGCGGAAGCACAGGUGGACUGUACAGGAGUGAGAAUGCCGGAAUGAGUAGCGAGAAUUAUGUGGGAAUCAUAAUGGCCGAAAAUCUAAGGUUUCUUGGGGAAGGUUCGUCCGCCCAAGGUAAGCCGGGAGCUAAGGCGAGGCCGCAAGGCGUAGUCGAUGCACAUACGGUAGAAAUUCCGUAGCCACCGAACUUUAAACCAGAAGGACACUUGCAGAUAGCGGAACCCAGCCGUUGGUUGAGCUGGGCGAAAGGGACUGAAAUAUAGUAGGGAAGUCCGCGAUGCUGUGAGGCGAGAAAAGCUCUGGUGUAUACUAAGGUGCCCGUACCGCAAACCGACACAGGUAGAUGAGGAGAGAAUCCUAAGGCCAACGGGAGAAGGGUUGUUAAGGAACUCGGCAAAUUGACCCCGUAACUUCGGAAGAAGGGGAGCCUCGAAAGAGGCCGCAGUGAAUAGGCCCAAGCAACUGUUUACCAAAAACACAGGUCUAUGCUAAAUCGAAAGAUGACGUAUAUGGGCUGACGCCUGCCCGGUGCCGGAAGGUUAAGAGGAGAGCUUAGCGCAAGCGAAGGUUUGAAUUGAAGCCCCGGUAAACGGCGGCCGUAACUAUAACGGUCCUAAGGUAGCGAAAUUCCUUGUCAGGUAAGUUCUGACCCGCACGAAUGGCGUAAUGAUUUGGGCACUGUCUCAACAGCCCGCCCGGCGAAAUUGUAGUACUGGUGAAGAUGCCAGUUACCCGCAACUAGACGGAAAGACCCCAUGGAGCUUUACUGUAGCUUAAUACUGAAGAUCGG